CCCUCCUCGCAGGCCCCCGCCGGUUGUCCAUGGCGUCCACAGCCUUCGCCGUCUUCCUCUUCUGCAUGCCGCCUUCUUCUUCCUAUUCUGUCUGAAAUCAUUUGUUAUACUUGCUGCUUGUAAGUUAUCACAAUUGUUGCAUUCAUAUGUGUCGUGUGCUGUAAACUGUGUUGCGUGAUACGCUUUUUAUGCAUGACUCGGUGCUUUUAAUAAAGUAGGGAGUGUGUGCGCGCGAGCGUGUUGCUAUAGAUUAAUGCAUGAUGUGAUGAGAAAUGAGGGACUGUUAGUCCAUUAGUAGCUGUUGUGUCGAUCUCUCUUUUCUACCCCUAAAAAGGCCCUCUCUUCCAGUUUCAACUGAACAUUUGGCUUGAAGUUGCUGUAAAAAAGAAAGUGUUGUCAAAAAAGAACAUUUGGCUUGAAGCCUUCCAUGAGAGUUUGAGUUCUGAAAUGAAUAAGCAUGAAGCCAGCCAAGGAAAAUGUAUCCAUCUUACACAUAAUUAUCUGCCUCAUAACCGGCAUUUACAACAAAAACAAAAAUGUGUACUGAAUCAAAAAACCACAAUCAGAUAUAUGGAUGAGAACACUUUGGCUGAAGAGUGCACAGAAUGAUAGCACGAGAACUAUGGAGAGUGAGAUACAGUGGAUGCAAUUCAUAAAAUUGGUUUCGGUGAUCUGAACAUCAGUGAACAGCAAGUCAGCUAAAUGUCUUCAAGAAGAGUAGAAAAAACGCACCAACGAAUAAGGGGAAUGAGCACCAGUCUUCCACAUGGUUUUUGCAUCUUCAGUUUCCUCGGCCAAAGAUAAUGCAAAUUAUUUUUAGUACGGGCACAAAAACAUCAAAGUAGUCAAUUUCCUGUGCGNNNN
rnacentral:lncRNA from 1 species